rnacentral:rRNA from 1 species
UACGAAGGGGGCUAGCGUUGCUCGGAAUCACUGGGCGUAAAGCGCACGUAGGCGGACUCUUAAGUCGGUGGUGAAAUCCUGGAGCUCAACUCCAGAACUGCCUUUGAUACUGGGAAUCUCGAGUCCGGGAGAGGUGAGUGGAACUGCGAGUGUAGAGGUGAAAAUUCGUAGAUAUUCGCAAGAACACCAGUGGCGAAGGCGGCUCACUGGCCCGGUACUGACGCUGAGGUGCGAAAGCGUGGGGAGCAAACAGGG